rnacentral:rRNA from 1 species
CACGUAGGGCGCAAGCGUUGUCCGGAAUUAUUGGGCGUAAAGAGCUCGUAGGCGGUCUGUUACGUCUGCUGUGAAAACCCGGGGCUUAACCCUGGGCUUGCAGUGGAUACGGGCAGACUAGAGGCAGGUAGGGGAGAAUGGAAUUCCCGGUGUAGCGGUGAAAUGCGCAGAUAUCAGGAGGAACACCUAUUGCGAAGGCAGCUCGCUGGGACGUAACUGACGCUGAGACGCGAAAGCGUGGGGAGCAAACAGG